rnacentral:rRNA from 1 species
GUCCACGCCGUAAACGAUGGACACUAGGCGUCGGGGGAGCGACCCCCUCGGUGCCGUCGCUAACGCAGUAAGUGUCCCGCCUGGGGAGUACGGCCGCAAGGCUGAAACUCAAAGGAAUUGACGGGGCCCGCACAAGCGGUGGAGCAUGUGGUUUAAUUCGAAGCAACGCGAAGAACCUUACCUGGGCUUGACAUGCUGGUGUAAGCCGGUGGAAACAUCGGCCCCUUUCGGAGCGCCAGCACAGGUGCUGCAUGGCUGUCGU